CUUAUGUGCUGAUGUGCCA
rnacentral:siRNA from 1 species